AUUGAACGCUGGCGGCAUGCCUUACACAUGCAAGUCGAACGGCAGCACGGACUUCGGUCUGGUGGCGAGUGGCGAACGGGUGAGUAAUGUAUCGGAACGUACCUUUCAGUGGGGGAUAACGUAGCGAAAGUUACGCUAAUACCGCAUAUUCUGUGAGCAGGAAAGCAGGGGAUCGCAAGACCUUGCGCUGAUUGAGCGGCCGAUAUCAGAUUAGCUAGUUGGUGAGGUAAAGGCUCACCAAGGCGACGAUCGGUAGCGGGUCUGAGAGGAUGAUCCGCCACACUGGAACUGAGACACGGCCCAGACUCCUACGGGAGGCAGCAGUGGGGAAUUUUGGACAAUGGGGGCAACCCUGAUCCAGCCAUGCCGCGUGAGUGAAGAAGGCCUUCGGGUUGUAAAGCUCUUUCGGCCGGGAAGAAAUCGCAUAGGUUAAUACCCUGUGUGGAUGACGGUACCGGAAUAAGAAGCACCGGCUAACUACGUGCCAGCCGCCGCGGUAA
rnacentral:rRNA from 1 species